ACGGAAGGCAGCAGUGGGGAAUAUUGGGCAAUGGGCGCAAGCCUGACCCAGCAACGCCGCGUGAAGGAAGAAGGCUUUCGGGUUGUAAACUUCUUUUACCAGGGACGAAGGACGUGACGGUACCUGGAGAAAAAGCCACGGCUAACUACGUGCCAGCAGCCGCGGUAAUACGUAGGUGGCAAGCGUUGUCCGGAUUUACUGGGUGUAAAGGGUGCGCAGGCGGGACUGCAAGUUGGAUGUGAAAUACCGAGGCUUAACCUCGGAGCUGCAUCCAAAACUGUGGUUCUUGAGUGGAGUAGAGGUAAGCGGAAUUCCGAGUGUAGCGGUGAAAUGCGUAGAUAUUCGGAGGAACACCAGUGGCGAAGGCGGCUUACUGGGCUCUAACUGACGCUGAGGCACGAAAGUGUGGGUAGCAAACAGGAUUAGAUACCCUGGUA
rnacentral:rRNA from 1 species